AUGGGACGCCAGGGGGCUGGAAGGACAGACCAGACCCUUGACUGGUGGAAGCACAGGCACUGGCUGACGGCCCCAGGCGCAGAGCUCCAGGCUUGGAAAUGCUGCGGGGCGACAGGACGGGCCCAGCAGCCCCUCGCUGGCUCCGGGCAGCAGACGCACAAGAGGACAGGGGCCCAAGGAGUUUCCAAAGCCUGCCCUGCACCGGACCCCCUCCAGCCCUGCCCGGCGGCGUCACAGGAGCUCCCAGAGCGGCGUUUUCACGAACACGGAGUCGAGUCUGAGGGCGAAGACCAGUUUUUAUUGGACUUGGCUUUGAGGAGCCGUGACAAACCCGGAGACGCGAAUACAAACGGAGUGUAAACAAAGUCCUGGCCAGCAGCGAGGAAAGUUCAGAGAAAACACACACACGCGUCAAAAGACGACUCAAUUUCAUGUCUUUCCAACACUAAUAGCUGCUUCCCGAUGAUGUGCUUGUCUUUGUGCUCUGAGCUCAGCAAAAGUUAGAAAGAAUAACACGCUGGCAAAGGGUGACACCAAAUUGUACAAAAUCGGGGCGCCUGUGGGGUCCGGGAGAUGACGGUUUUACAAAACGCUACAGGAUCCGCCAGCGUUAAUUUAAAUGACUUCCUUUUUUGGACGUGCAGGCCCCCUUGGCGACUUUACCUAGGAAAACAUCGGGCACCCAACAGAAAACUGGAGUGGGUUUUAAAUACGCUUUUGUUAUGGGACACGCUCUUGUGUGCGGAGUGAGUCUUCCAAAAAAUUGUAUUUUUUCUUCUGUGGUCAAGAUUUAGGCAGUAAAAACAAGCCACAGGAACCCCCCUGAGCUCACCCACAAGACAGAGGAGGUCAGGACGGCUUUAGACAAGGACGCGUGGAACCCAGGACGCCCGGUCCCUCCGGCCCCCAGGGCACAGGCGGGACGUCCCCCUCGGGCACACCUACAGGACGGCCUACCGAGCAGAGGGAGCCCCCGCCCCCGAGUGGAGAACACACGGCCACUUUGCUGCCCCCCGUCUUGCUGAGGCCUUAGCACACGGCCCACUUGGCACGGGACCUGACGUUAAAGCCGAAAUAGAAACUGUUGGGAAGACAGUCUGACCAAGGAUAAUGAGACUUAACAGCAGCAGGAUGUUGACAAGCUCUGAGUACUCACACCCCGCCUUCCACACUAGCAGGGUGGUCCGGCUGGACCGAGGCAGACGCAGCCCCCACGGCAAAGGUGGACGGCUCUCUCGUCCGUGGGACUUCUCGUGACAAUGGCUGUUGUACACUCGAUGCUAACGACUUGCUUCUUCGCGGCCUCGUUACGAGCAAACCACGGGGGGCAGACAGAGGACCAAGCUCACACCUCCUCCUC
rnacentral:lncRNA from 1 species